rnacentral:rRNA from 1 species
UACGUAGGGCGCAAGCGUUAUCCGGGAUUAUUUGGCGUAAAGAGCUCGUAGGCGGGUUGUCGCGUCUGCCGUGAAAGUCCGGGGCUCAACUCCGGAUCUGCGGUGGGUACGGGCAGACUAGAGUGAUGUAGGGGAGACUGGAAUUCCUGGUGUAGCGGUGAAAUGCGCAGAUAUCAGGAGGAACACCGAUGGCGAAGGCAGGUCUCUGGGCAUUAACUGACGCUGAGGAGCGAAAGCGUGGGGAGCAAACAGG